GUUAGGAAUAUUGGACAAUGGGCGCAAGCCUGAUCCAGCCAUGCCGCGUGAGUGAUGAAGGCCUUCGGGUUGUAAAGCUCUUUAGCCGAUGAUUAUAAUGACUGUAGUCGGAAAAUAAGCCCCGGCUAACUUCGUGCCAGCAGCCGCGGUAAUACGAAGGGGGCGAGCGUUAUUCGGAAUCACUGGGCGUAAAGCGUGCGUAGGCGGCUGUGCAAGUUGGGAGUGAAAGCCCAGGGCUCAACCCUGGAAUUGCUCUCAAAACUGCAAGGCUCGAAUUCGGGAGAGGAUAGCGGAAUUGUCAGUGUAGCAGUGAAAUGCGUAGAUAUUGACAGGAACACCAGUGGCGUAAGCGGCUAUCUGGACCGAUAUUGACGCUGAGGCACGAAAGCGUGGGGAUCAAACAGGAUUAGAUACCCCGGUAGUCC
rnacentral:rRNA from 1 species